rnacentral:rRNA from 1 species
UGGGGAAUAUUGGGCAAUGGGCGAAAGCCUGACCCAGCCACGCCGCGUGAGUGAUGAAGGCCUUCGGGUCGUAAAGCUCUGUGGGGGGGGACGAACAAGCCUGGCGCUAAUCACCCGGGCUCUGACGGUACCUCCUUAGCAAGCACCGGCUAACCCUGUGCCAGCAGCCGCGGUAAUACAGGGGGUGCAAACGUUGCUCGGAAUUAUUGGGCGUAAAGCGCGGAAAGGCGGCUACUUAAGUCGGAUGUGAAAGCCCUUGGCUCAACUGAGGAAGUGCACCCGAAACUGAGUGGCUAGAGUACGAAAGAGGGUCGCGGAAUUCCCGGUGUAGAGGUGAAAUUCGUAGAUAUCGGGAGGAACACCGGUGGCGAAGGCGGCGACCUGGGUCGAUACUGACGCUAAACUGCGAAAGCGUGGGGAGCAAACAG